GGGAACAAUCGUCUUUGAAGGAAGCAGCUGUAGGAAUCAUAGUGUAUGUUCUGAUUCUCAUCCUCUGGCUUUAAGUGGUUCAGGGAGAAGGCCUCCAAAUCCACCUCUGACAGAAGAGACACAGCAGAGAAUGGACUUGUGAGUCUGUUGGAAUCAGCUGACUGACAACGCGAGACGCUAGUCCAAUUUAUGUCAACGGCUCAGGCAUGGCCAUGACCCCUUCUGCAGCACAGACAGCAGACACAGAUGAUCAGGAUGAUGUUCACAACAUCAGUAUUCACCACAGAAACCAGAAAGUGCCUCUAUAUUCCACCGUCCAACUGCCUCAAACCCAGAAAUAGGUUGGGUUCUUCUAUGUGUGUAUUGGCAGUUUUUAAAAUAAAUUAAAAAGGUGCAAACUGC